rnacentral:sRNA from 1 species
CAGUUUCAUCCCAUCCUCUACUCUCUUCGCCUUACAAAAUCCAUUUAUAAG